CAGUCGAACGCCCCGCAAGGGGAGUGGCGGACGGGUGAGUAACGCGUGGGAAUUUUCCUCAAGGUACGGAACAACUCAGGGAAACUUGGGCUAAUACCGUAUGAUGCAGCGAUGCCAAAGAUUUAUCGCCUUGGGAUAAGCCCGCGUCAGAUUAGGUAGUUGGUGGGGUAACGGCCUACCAAGCCUGCGAUCUGUAGCUGGUCUGAGAGGACGAUCAGCCACAUUGGGACUGAGACACGGCCCAAACUCCUACGGGAGGCAGCAGUGGGGAAUCUUGCGCAAUGGGCGAAAGCCUGACGCAGCCAUGCCGCGUGAAUGAUGAAGGUCUUAGGAUUGUAAAGUUCUUUAGCCUGUGACGAUGAUGACGGUAACAGGAGAAUAAGCCCCGGCUAACUUCGUGCCAGCAGCCGCGGUAAUACGAAGGGGGCUAGCGUUGUUCGGAAUUACUGGGCGUAAAGCGCGCGUAGGCGGUUUUACAAGCCAGAGGUGAAAUGCCUGAGCUUAACUUGGGAAUUGCCUUUGGAACUGUAUGACUUCGAGGACGAGAGAGGUGAGUGGAAUUCCCAGUGUAGAGGUGAAAUUCGUAGAUAUUGGGAAGAACACCGGUGGCGAAGGCGGCUCACUGGCUCGUUUCUGACGCUGCAGCGCGAAAGCGUGGGGAUCAAACAGGAUUAGAUACCCUGGUAGUCCACGCUGUAAACGAUGAGUGCUAGGCGUCGGCACGCUUGCGUGUCGGUGCCGCAGCUAACGCGUGAAGCACUCCGCCUGGGGAGUACGGUCGCAAGAUUAAAACUCAAAGGAAUUGACGG
rnacentral:rRNA from 1 species